CAUGCUGUCUGCCCCCACAGAAGUAACUCCACACAUCGUCCCUGUCCCUUAGUGCCUGCCUUUCUUGAAUUGCUAACUUGCUUAUUGGGUUAUGUCCUGUGCUUCUGGGUACACCAUGCCAUGGUUACCUUUCAGAAGGUCUGGUAAACUUUCUUGAACAUACAAAGCAAACAACAGAUUGGCAGAGGUGGGAAACACAAUUUCACAGUGUGAGGAGGGGCAAGUGAACAAUGUUCCAACAAGACUGCAAUCCUCACAGCCAGUCAAAAGCACAAACUCUCAGAAAAGUAGCUAUUAAGAACACAAAGUCUGAAUUUUCCAGUCACAAAAGACCCGUGUAUAACCAUUCUUUAUCACCCAGCAAACACUCUCUUUCUGUCCCAUUGUCAAUGGCCCACAGACCACAUCUGCCCUUGGACAGAGUAGGAAGAAAGAAAGGGAGAGAGAAAUGAAUAGAAAUGAGAGUAUGAGUUUCCAUUUAUUUAUUUAUUUUACAUAUAAAUCAGCUAAUCUGUUUAACAUUCAUAUUAAAGUUGUAAUCACCUUUGCACACAUUAAAAUACAAACCAGCACAAGUAAUAGGCCUUAAGAACAACAUUACAAUAGCUAUUAGCAUAUAACAGCUACCUUAUCAACUUACAACAUCCCUAUAAAAUAAUAACUGCAUCCAGGAUUGAUUCGCAGGAAAUUCAUUCUCCCGGAGCACUGAAGCCUGACUGGGAGUCUGGGGAAGGUGAGAGUCGGACUGCUCUUGGCUGACUCAGAACAGCCCUGGGGGCUUGGAAGAGCUUGACUGGAGACAGAAGGCUCACACUUUAAUUUUUCCUCUAUUAUCUAAAUGUGGGGCAAAUAAAUUAACCUCAUUGAGACUCCAGUUCCUCUGCUACAAAAAGGAUUUAAGGACGUUUUCACCAGAGUAAGAAAGUAUCUGAGAGGCUAGCAGUUGCUUAGCGAUGCUGGUGUAUUUCCAAGGCUGUCAGGUGCUACAGGGGGUAGGCUGGUUAAUCUUGAUUGCCAACUUGACAGGAUUUAGAAUCACCAUGGAAACAUAGCUCUGGGUAUGUCUGCAAGAGAUUUCUCCAGAUUAGGUUAGUUGAGGUGGGAAGACUUACUCUAAAUAUGAGUCACCAUUCCACGGGCUAGGGUCAUGAACCGAAUAGCACAAAGGAGCAAGGGCAUUGAGCAGCAGCAUUCGUCAUGGCGUCCUUCGGACUGUAGAGACAACGUGACCAGCCGCCUGCAGAGCCUGAUACUAUCUAUGACUUCCCCACCACCAUGGACUGCACCUUUGAACUGUGAUCCAAAUUAAACCCUUUCUUCCCUAGGUUGCUGUAUUCAGGUAUUUUUUUUUUUUUAUCACGACAAAGAGUACAGUAAAUGAUACAGGGACCAAGAGCCGCACAGAGAGGAUGCUGCUGAGAACUGGAGGAGCCGCACACAGUACUGGAACAAUCUGCUCAUGUGUUUACUCCUUCAUCACCGUUGAGCACUGUCAGAGAUGAUGGGAGCUACAAUCAACGGUAAAACAGGGUUCUCUCCUUAGAGGGCUCUCUGUUGAGUUGGAGAGGCAUCCCAUCAAGUAAACAACAAGCUGGAUGGAACUGAACACGUGAUGCAGGAGAAUAGAUUCAACACAUUCAGGGAGAAUGAAGAACAGAGAGACGGAACGGGAAUCAGGAGAUAGCUUCAUGGAAGAUGUGGUAUCUAAGGAGAGCCAGUGCUUCACCAAAUGAUGAGGAAAAGCUAUCUGGGGCUGAAGGGAUUGCAUAAACAAAGACAUUGCACAUAGAACAUGUGGGGAGCAACACAUUUCUUAUUUUUCUUUUCUAGGGACAGAGUUUGGAGAGCAAGGAAGGAGGCAGAGCUGCUGGAAGCCGUUGAUGCUAGAGGUGGGGGACCUUCCAUGUGGGAUGAAGUUGUGAUCUGAGGUUCCCCACGUGGGCCUCUGUGUGGAAGGCAAAGGGUAGAAAGUGAACUUCCUAAGAGAAUGUCAACUCUGGCAUAUGUUCUAGGAAGACACAAAUAGUGGAGGGUGACCAUGGUCAUGGAUGACUUUGGGUGAAAUGGAGACUGGAUGAGACGCUGUAGCAGUUUGGGAAGAGAGACGCCUGUUUGGGCAAUGGAAGAAAACAUGAAAAGACCCAGAGAAACGGGUGUCACAAUAGAGGGAUGGCUGCAUAUGGUAGAUGAGAGAGACUCUCAUACAAGAGCUGAGUGUCAGGAAUAUGAUGAUGUCCCCUGGCAGAAUUAGGACAAUGGGGAAAGAAAUCAGGAGUUUGGUUUUCAGAAUACUACAAUGAAGUCAUCAAGAUGCAUACAAGAGAGCAUCAUAGAGCAGGAAACAGAAUGGACUCCGGUUUAGCCCUUGACUGAAGCAGGCCACUGAAUAAUGCUGCCAUGUUGCCGUGACAUAGCACAGACAUAGACUGACUUUCUAUGGGAACUUCCUGGCCUUCAGACCCACUGGAAGCAUACAGCCUAAUGGCCAUCUUCAGUUGGAAAGCAGCAAAGAAAGGUCAUGUGUGUCCUCGAUGUAGGCAGAAGAGGGUGUACCUUUAGGGCCACUGAGGAAAGGCUCUCUGAAAAGAACUUGUCCUCUACCACCCAGCUCCCUGAGGGGAGAGCAGUGAAACUUGUCUGGAAAAUAGCUUGCCUUUUACAGUGCUGUUAAACCUGUGUGUCUGAAUGUCUAAGGCCUCAAGGCUCACAUUCUCCAGGGCCUUUUCUCAAUGGCCCCUUCAGUGUGGCAGAAGUCCAGGACUGGGGAGCUGGGGUGCCCUCCAGCUCCACUCCAGAGGCAGUCUGUCCUCAGGGUGCCUCCCAGCCCUGUGCCUGCAGGCCUCUGGUGGCAGUGCUGGAGGACAGAUCUGAGCUUCUGCCUGGCACAUUCCCUUGCUGGGGACUCUGCCAGGGAUGGCAGCCUUUAAACGCCUCAUUAAUAUUCAAAUCUAUUCAAGUCAUUUCAAUUUGAAUUCUAUGCAUAUUAUCAGAUAGAACAAAAUGCAAAUAUAUACAAAUUCAUCCAUAUGAAGAAAUAAAUAGGGGAAGCUGUGCAUAA